rnacentral:rRNA from 1 species
GACGAACGCUGGCGGCGUGCUUAACACAUGCAAGUCGAACGGAAAGGCCCUGCUUUUGUGGGGUGCUCGAGUGGCGAACGGGUGAGUAACACGUGAGUAACCUGCCCUUGACCUUGGGAUAACUUCAGGAAACUGGGGCUAAUACCGGAUAGGAGCUCCUGCUGCAUGGUGGGGGUUGGAAAGUUUCGGCGGUUGGGGAUGGACUCGCGGCUUAUCAGCUUGUUGGUGGGGUAGUGGCUUACCAAGGCUUUGACGGGUAGCCGGCCUGAGAGGGUGACCGGCCACAUUGGGACUGAGAUACGGCCCAGACUCCUACGGGAGGCAGCAGUGGGGAAUAUUGCACAAUGGGCGGAAGCCUGAUGAAGCAAAGCCGCGUGCGGGAUGACGGCCUUCGGGUUGUAAACCGCUUUCGCCUGUGACGAAGCGUGAGUGACGGUAAUGGGUAAAGAAGCACCGGCUAACUACGUG